CCCUUUUAGGUUUUGCUCAGAGAAUUGCCGGUUAUUGAAUUAUUGUUCAGUGUAUUGAGAUUAGUGUAUUGUUCAGUUUAUUAUUGAUAAUUUGGUAUUGUUGGAUUGCUGGUUAUAGAUUUAUUUUUCAGUUUAUUGCUUGAUGCUGGUUAUUGAUUUAUUGUUAAGUUUUGAUAACUUGGUAAUUGGUAUUGCUGGAUUGCUGCUGGUUUAUUGUAUUGUUGGAUUGCUGCUGGUUUAUGGUAUUGCUGGAUUGC